UNUGGUGGANNCAUGUGGUUUAAUUCGAUGCAACGCGAAGAACCUUACCUACUCUUGACAUCCACAGAAUUCGGCAGAGAUACCUUAGUGCCUUCGGGAACUGUGAGACAGGUGCUGCAUGGCUGUCGUCAGCUCGUGUUGUGAAAUGUUGGGUUAAGUCCCGCAACGAGCGCAACCCUUAUCCUUUGUUGCCAGCGCGUNANGGCGGGAACUCAAAGGAGACUGCCGGUGAUAAACCGGAGGAAGGUGGGGAUGACGUCAAGUCAUCAUGGCCCUUACGAGUAGGGCUACACACGUGCUACAAUGGCGUAUACAAAGAGAAGCGAACUCGCGAGAGCCAGCGGACCUCAUAAAGUACGUCGUAGUCCGGAUCGGAGUCUGCAACUCGACUCCGNGAAGUCGGAAUCGC
rnacentral:rRNA from 1 species